AUCCAUGGCGGGCGGUGCGUGGGGGUCCUCGGACCCGCCGGAUUGGGUAUUCACCGGUUUUCGAGACACGCACCGUCCGCCGCCUUU
rnacentral:antisense_RNA from 1 species